GGAGGCGCGCCCUCGUGCUCGUGGGCCUCGUCGGCACCGGGCCUCGGGGGCCCGGGGGCCCUCCGUUCCCGUGACACACGCGGUUAUGGAGCUCCUAGGCUCGUCCCGGUGCGGAACCAGCUACGAUAUCUGUGCGCGGGCGUUACCCCGUCGUCGUCGUUCACGCGUGCCAGUUAGAAAUGCUCGUGCGACACAACAGUCAGGCACUGUGAUAUGCGGUACCGGGGGAUCGUCAAUAGACGCGACGCUGGCCUGAAUCGUGUGUAUGCGAGAGAAUCGACCGUCCUGAAGCGCGAGGAUACUACUAUCGCGGGGCAACGAUUUUCAGCGGAAACAGUCACGUUGUCAGGACGAUGGAUGAAGACCACGAUGAAGUAAAAAAUCAUCGAGAAAUAGUUUGGUGAACGGAGACGAGGGGAGGCCUGUUACUAAUCGCGAUUAUCUCCGGUGGAGGCAUAUUGGUAUACACGCGACAGAGGAGAAGAAGACCGGUGGAAAGAGUUUUCACGAAAAAAACUGGCGUCCCAAACACGUGACGAUAGCUCUCGCGGGACUCGGACCCGUCGACGGACCAAUGGUGGAUCCCUGUCCAGCCGAGGCAGCGCCACGGGCAUGCAAUGCGGUCUGUGCGCCGUCGUCGCGGGACUCUUCCGGCGAGCUAUGUGCAUCGCGGGCAGCCGACGUGGCUCCGGAGAAUCCUGCUACCAGGAGCUCACCACCGAGACCCAGGCACGCCGGCACUCGCAGCUCGCGCCCAUCGAGACCGGCCUGAAGGCGGCUGAGAUCGCGGAGCACGUUAAAGAGGCUGUUGAAACGCAGGAGGUGAGAGAAUUUUACGCCCCACGGGUAUAGUUCUGACGAGAGGGUAGCAUGCUUUAAGGAGAGGAGUCAGUGUGUGACAGGGCGGAAAAAGAAACGGACUGACUUCGUGGGUAGGCACAGGGUCUUUGGACUGCUCGGCUGAACCGAACCCCUCGCUCGAUUAAUCAAGUGCUUAUUCGGUAAUAUUUGUGGCUGUUUAACCACCACUUUUUUUGUUAUCACUUGUAAGAAGACAAAGAGCCAUUAAAAUUAGCUAUUUAAUUGAUUCAACGAUGUGACAAACGCGCAGACUAUUUUCUUUUUUUAAAUACGUUUGGGGUUGUAAGACCCAGUCUCGACGUCGUGGUGCACGUUUGAUACGGCCGUGCGCCUAUUAGCAACAGGCUGUUACCCGUCGAAUUAGUCUCGGGCAACUGUGUGAAAAUAGUAGAGGGUCAUUCCACGCAAAAUCGGACACUUU